rnacentral:rRNA from 1 species
GACGAACGCUGGCGGCGUGCUUAACACAUGCAAGUCGAACGGAAAGGCCCUUCGGGGUCCUCGAGUGGCGAACGGGUGAGUAACACGUGGGUGAUCUGCCCUGCACUUUGGGAUAAGCCUGGGAAACUGGGUCUAAUACCGAAUAGGACCACGCGCUUCAUGAUGUGUGGUGGAAAGCUUUUGCGGUGUGGGAUGGGCCCGCGGCCUAUCAGCUUGUUGGUGGGGUAAUGGCCUACCAAGGCGACGACGGGUAGCCGGCCUGAGAGGGUGACCGGCCACACUGGGACUGAGAUACGGCCCAGACUCCUACGGGAGGCAGCAGUGGGGAAUAUUGCACAAUGGGCGCAAGCCUGAUGCAGCGACGCCGCGUGAGGGAUGACGGCCUUCGGGUUGUAAACCUCUUUCAAUAGGGACGAAGCGCAAGUGACGGUACCUAUAGAAGAAGCACCGGCCAACUACGUG